GGACCCGCACAAGCGGUGGAGCAUGUGGUUUAAUUCGAUGCAACGCGAAAAACCUUACCUAUACUUGACAUACUUGGAAUGCUUUGUAAUGAAGCAGUGCCUUCGGGAGCCAGGAUACAGGUGCUGCAUGGCUGUCGUCAGCUCGUGUCGUGAGAUGUUCCGUUAAGUCGGAUAACGAGCGCAACCCUUACCCUUAUUUGCCAGCGAUUCGGUCGGGAACUAUAAGGGGACUGCCGGUGAUAAACCGGAGGAAGGUGAGGACGACGUCAAGUCAUCAUGGCCCUUACGUAUAGGGCUACACACGUGCUACAAUGGGGAAUACAGACGGACGCUAAGCCGCGAGGUGGUGCUAAUCCUAGAAAAUUCUUCGUAGUCCGGAUUGGAGUCUGCAACUCGACUCCAUGAAGUCGGAAUC
rnacentral:rRNA from 1 species